AACUAGUUAGUGAGCUGUAAAGUUAAGAAGAGAAUUAGAGGUAGGGAGAAAUUGAUUUGCCUCUGUGUAUGUGUGUGUGAGAGAGAGGGUUUAAAUGAUAUUAAUUUUAUUUAUCUGAGUUGGUGGGUUGGCUUUGGGCUUUGAUUAUUGACUUUGGUUCUGAGCGAAACUUUGGCAUAACAUGUGCUUUAUAUGCUAUAAGCAUGCAGCUCUAAUGAUUUUACUUAUACUUAAAUCAAAUCAAAUGUUGCCCAUGCA
rnacentral:misc_RNA from 1 species